UGACUCAAACGACAGAGACGGACUUUAGUCGAGAAGCAGACGUGAAGCCUGAGCUCCGCCGAUUUAUUAACAUUUACCACCGGUUUUGGUUUAAAUCUUUUUUUUAGCUCCAGCUUUUACUUUUACAACAUUAGAUUAACUUUUUAUCCAGAAAGAAGAAUCUAAAUGAGACAAAUCGCUCGGGACGAAAAACGUAUUUUUCCUCCAAAGGUUUUUUUUGGGUCGGAUAUGUGCAUAGAAAUAAUGGAGACUAAUCCUAAACGCGUGAAACCCGACUGCCUGCUUCGUAGGACCGUGAAAUUGGCAUCUAAACCGAGGUGGAGGCAGCUGGGGGCGGACGAGGCCUCCAAGCCAAGCCGGGCCUCAAUCCGGAAACCACUCAAGCGCGAGCAGAAGCGGGCCCAUCUGGUUGAGCUCGCCCGAGUCCUGAGGCCCAACAUCGGGAAGAAGGGCAAGGAAACGUCGAUGUGUGAGCAGAGAACCGCCGCGGCCUACGACCGCAGACACCCGGGAACAAUGGCGCCGCCGAACACCACCCAGUUCCUGAUGAGUAACGCCGAGGAGGACAUGAGGAGCAGAAACAUCCAGGCAGAUGCGGCCUCCACGGAGACAUGGUCGUGUCUGUACAGCGAGUCCAUGUCCCCCAGCAGCGUGUACGCGGCCCUGGACUCUGCCUACGAGAGCUGCGUCGAUUUCCAGAUCCGGGACUUUGAGGAAAUGUUCGCCCCGACCUGGUGAACGGCAUCGAACGGUCUCCGCGGCCUUGUGGCACCGAUCUGACCUCCUGUCCACUAGUGACAGUUACACAAAAGACAACUAUGAAGCGACGCACUGGAACGCUGCCCGCCCACUAGGGAGCGCUCCCGAGCUCCGGAUGGAACCGAUCCGAAUCCCACCCGGGACGAACCGGGUCUACGUGGACCCGAUCCGACCUCCUCAGAGCCCACUGACAUGUACUUAGGACAAACAUGAAGCGACGCACUUGGACGCUGCCCCACCACUUGGGAGCGCUACCGAGCCGUGCGUCGUCCAGAGGAACGAACCAAGCGCUCUCCCCGGGGGGCGACCCUGUCUACGUGGAACUGAUCCCCGACCAGCUCACACCCACUGACAUUUACAUAGGCCUGACGUGAAGCGGCGCACUGGCGCUGCCCGCCCGCUAGGGAGCGCUCCUGAGCCUUGCGCCGUCCAGAGGAACGAAACCCAAACGCACCCGAGCUCUGCUCCGGCCACGGAUUGUGAAUAAUCCAGGUAAACCCGGGCAGGUAUCGUUGUUGCACCGACCACACCAUUAGUGGAACUGAAAUGUGUUGGCGAUGAGUGGGAAGUGUUGCUUUCCACAGUCACUGUUGUCUGAGCGUUUUCCAGAUCCCCUCCCCCCCACUCUCCCGCUGCCAGGGCACGUGACUCCGCUGCGAGCAGGAGGCAGGACACCGGAGAGAUCAGUCUGCACGUGACUGACAUGAGGUGACAUUCACUGUCCGUUGAUUGUUGACUUGUUUCCAGGGAAAGCCCAAAGGUCAAACUCUAAUCUUGUUUAUAUGUCGAGGGUUGACAAACUGUAUUUAUUCUGUAAGAUAAGAGAAUUUAUGAUGAGAGUGUUUUUAAUUAAACGAGGUUUGAAACUAUUAAA